AUAGGAAAAGUGAAGGCAUCUUUACUUUUUUAAAAGACCUUCUUUGAAGGUAUGCUUAAGGAGGGGCUUGGGACACAUUGGUUAGUUGGCAGGGUAAAGGCCUACCAAGACUAUGAUGUGUAGCUGGACUGAGAGGUUGAACAGCCACAUUGGGACUGAGACACGGCCCAAACUCCUACGGGAGGCAGCAGUAGGGAAUUUUCGGCAAUGGAGGAAACUCUGACCGAGCAACGCCGCGUGAACGAUGAAGUACCUCGGUAUGUAAAGUUCUUUUAUUAAGGAAGAAAAAAGAGUGGAAAAACUCCCUUGACGGUACUUAAUGAAUAAGCCCCGGCUAAUUAUGUGCCAGCAGCCGGGUAAUACAUAAGGGGCGAGCGUUAUCCGGAAUUAUUGGGCGUAAAGGGUGCGUAGGCGGUUUAAUAAGUCUAUAGUUUAAUUUCAGCGCUUAACGCUGUUGUGCUAUAGAAACUGUUUUACUAGAGUGAGUUAGAGGCAAGCGGAAUUCCAUGUGUAGCGGUAAAAUGCGUAAAUAUAUGGAGGAGCACCAGAGGCGUAGGCGGCUUGCUGGGACUUUACUGACGCUGAGGCACGAAAGCGUGGGGAGCAAACAGGAUUAGAUACCCUGGUAGUCCACGCCGUAAACGAUGAGUACUAAGUGUCGGGUAAAACCGGUACUGAAGUUAACACAUUAAGUACUCCGCCUGAGUAGUACGUACGCAAGUAUGAAACUUAAAGGAAUUGACGGGACUCCGCACAAGCGGUGGAUCAUGUUGUUUAAUUCGAAGAUACACGAAAAACCUUACCAGGUCUUGACAUUUUCUUGCGAAGUUAUAGAAAUAUAAUGAAGGUUAUCAGGAAAACAGGUGGUGCAUGGUUGUCGUCAGCUCGUGUCGUGAGAUGUUAGGUUAAGUUCUAAAACGAGCGCAACCCUUGUCGUUAAUUGCCAGCAUGUAAUGAUGGGGACUUUAACGAGACUGCCAAUGAAAAAUUGGAGGAAGGUGGGGAUUACGUCAAAUCAUCAUGCCCCUUAUGAUCUGGGCUACAAACGUGAUACAAUGGUUGAUACAAAGAGUAGCUGAAACGCGGGUUCUUAGCCAAUCUCACAAAAUCAAUCUCAGUUCGGAUUGAAGUCUGCAACUCGACUUCAUGAAGUUGGAAUCGCUAGUAAUCGUGAAUCAGCAUGUCACGGUGAAUACGUUCU
rnacentral:rRNA from 1 species